rnacentral:rRNA from 1 species
AAUCAAUAUAAACACAAACCAAACCAAUUUAAACUGAAUAGGAAAUUAACAUGAAUACAAUAAGAUUCACAUACCUUUAGUAUCAGGGAACUAGAAAAUAAAAUUUAUAUAAAAAUUUUCCCGAAAUAAUUAAGAUCUAAAUAAAUUGAAAAUAACUAAAUGUAACAUAAUUACAAAAUUUCAUUUAGAAGCGACACACAAAACAAUUAAUAAAAUAUCUGGUUUUUAGUCAUUAAAAAUUUAAUAACUAGUUAAAAUCAUAAAUUAAUUUUAAUUAUUCAACAAAGUAAACUAUAAACCAACUUUAAGAAUAAAAGUAACUACAAAGUUCACAAACAUAAAAUUUAAUAAAAUUCCAAUUUUAAAAACUAAAAAUAAUCAAAAAUAAAAAUUUAAUUCUAUUUAUAAGUAAUUUUCUAACAAUAAUUAAUAAACAUCAAUAACAACAUAAAUUCAUCAUUAAAAAAAAUUAAAGAACUCUACAAUAUUCUAUUCGUCUGUUUACCAAAAACAUUUCUUUAAGAAAUAAUUUAAAGUAAAACCUGCUCAAUGAAAGAAUUAAAUAGCCGCAAUUUUCUGUGCUAAGGUAGCAUAAUCAUUAGUUUUCUAAUUAAAAAAUAGAAUGAAAGGUUAAACGAAAUAGAGACUGUUUCAAAAAAUUUAAAAUAAAUUUAAAAUUAAAGUUAAAAUUCUUUAAAUUAAAAGAAAGACGAUAAGACCCUAUAAACUUAAUAUUUAGCUGGGGCGGCUUUUUAAAAAAACCUUAACUACAAACGCAACGAACCAAAUAAAAAUUUUCAGAAAAGUUACUUUAGGGAUAACAGCGUUACUUUUUUUAAAAGACCUUAUAAAAAAAAAUCCUUCGACCUCGAUGUUGAAUUAUAAACCUAUUUAAAGUAAAAAUUAAAAAAGGUGGUCUGUUCGACCGACAAAUAUAUACAUGAUUUGAGUUCAGACCGGUGAAAGCCAGGUCGGUUUCUAUCUUCUAAUAUUAAUAUUUAGUACGAAAGGACCAGUUUUAAUUUUA